rnacentral:rRNA from 1 species
UUAAGAGCAUACGAUGGAUGCCUUGACGAACUGUGCCGAUGAAGGACGUAGAAGGCUGCGAAAAGCCUCGGUGAGCUGCCAAUCAAGCUUUGACCCGGGGAUUUCCGAAUGGGGGAACCCAAUGCGAGUCAUGUCGCAUUACCCUACAAUGAAUACAUAGUUGUAGUGGCGGAGACCAGGGGAACUGAAACAUCUCAGUACCCUGAGGAAAAGAAAUUAACAAAGAGUCCCUUAGUAGCGGCGAGCGAAAAGGGAUCAGCCAAAACUUAUCUAACCCCUUUGAUUUAUCAGAGGUUACCUCAGUAAUGUUAGAGAGGGUUGCGAGACUAUAGAUGACCAUAUAAUACUGUGUAAAUUUAUUUAUACUGUGUUAUAUGUGACCACCGAUGAGGAUCGAGUGGAUAAAGUCAAAAAACAGAGUUAUUAGUGGAAGGUGCCUGGAAAGGACCACCAAAGAGCGUGAAAGUCGUGUACAUUAAAAUACUUUGUCUUUAUAUCUAUUUUACUCAAGUAGGACGGGGCACGUGUAACCUUGUCUGAAUCUGGGAGGACCACCUUCCAAGGCUAAUUACACAGUUCGAUCGAUAGUGAACAAGUACCGUGAGGGAAAGGUGAAAAGAACCCCGUAAGGGGAGUGAAAUAGAAUCCUGAAAUCAUAUGCUUACAAUGAGUCGGAGCUUCAAUUUAUUGGGGUGACGGCGUGCUUUUUGUAGAACGAUCCAGCGAGUUACGAUAUGUGGCAAGGUUAAGGUAUAUACGUACCGGAGCCAUAGUGAAAGCGAGCCUUAAUAGGGCGAUUUAGUCGCAUGUCGUAGACCCGAAACCAGGUGACCUAACCAUGGCCAGGCUGAAGCGUGGGUAAAACUACGUGGAGGGCCGAACCACCGCCAGCUGCAAAUGGCUUGGAUGAGCUGUGGUUAGCGGAGAAAUUCCAAUCGAACCUGGAGAUAGCUGGUUCUCCUCGAAAUAGCUUUAGGGCUAGCGUCAUAAACUACCUCUCAGGGGUAGAGCACUGAAUGGGUAGCAGGCUGCUUGCAGUACUGCGCUCAAUCAAACUCCGAAUACUGAGAGAGAUUAUUAUGGCAGUCAGAACACGGGAGCUAAGUUUCGUGCUCGAAAGGGAAACAGCCCAGAUCGCCAUCUAAGGUCCCCAAGUCAUAGCUAAGUGGGAAACGAGGUGGGAUUGCAUAAACAACCAGGAUGUUGGCUUAGAAGCAGCCAUGCAUUUAAAGAGUGCGUAACAGCUCACUGGUCGAUUGUGAUCCCGCGCGGAAAAUAUAACGGGGCUAAGCUAUGCACCGAAGAUGCGAACUUCAUAUUUAUAUGGAGUGGUAGAGGAGCGUUGUAUAUGUGCUGAAGUCAAACCGUAAGGUUUGGUGGAACGUAUACAAGUGAGAAUGCUGGAAUGAGUAACUAUAAGGCAGGUGAGAAUCCUGCCCACCGUAAGAACAAGGUUUCCUGGGCAACGUUUAUCGUCCCAGGGUUAGUCGGGCCUAAGCCGAGGCGAGUAGCGUAGGCGAUGGACAACAGGUUGAUAUUCCUGUACCGGUACAAUUGUUCCCACACAAGACGCAGGAUGGUAACGUGAGCGGCUUUAUGGCUAUAGCCGUCUAAGUGCGUAGUCCUUGAUUUAUCAAGGCCGAAACACGAAUGAAACGACUCUUUACCGAGUUGAAUUCGCGCGAGCCAAACUGACCAGAAAAUUGUGUGAUUAAUAGAUUGUGCCGCCCGUACCGCAAACCGACACAGGUGUUCGGGUCGAGUAGACCAAGGUGCUCGGGAGAACCCUCGUUAAGGAACUCGGCAAUACAGCGACCGUAACUUCGGGAUAAGGUCUGCCUCUGCGUUCCACAAAUUUGUGGAUAGCAAGUGAGAUAUGUCUUUGAAAGAUAUACGAAUGUAUUGAGUAAAGUUCCAAGUUUGAAGGAAACUUGUAAAAUAAUCUUCAAGUCUUAAGUAGCUUAUAGCUCAAGUGUCUUUGCACGAAUGUGUGGAGCGCGGAGGCCGCAGCGAAAGAGCCCAUGCAACUGUUUAUCAAAAACACAGGUCUGUGCGAACACGAAAGUGGAUGUAUACGGACUGACGCCUGCCCAGUGCCGGAAGGUUAAGUGAGCGAGUGCAAGCUUGUGAUCGAAGCCCCGGUGAACGGCGGCCGUAACUAUAACGGUCCUAAGGUAGCGAAAUUCCUUGUCGGGUAAGUUCCGACCCGCACGAAUGGCGUAAUGAUAUGGGCACUGUCUCAACGAGGGACCCGGUGAAAUUGCAAUAGCGGUAAAGAUGCCGUUUACCCGCACCAAGACGGAAAGACCCCGUGCAGCUUUACUACAGCUUGGCAUUGAGUCUGGCUGUAAACUGUGUAGCAUAGGUGGGAGACUUUGAAACUUUGGCGCUAGCCGAAGUGGAGUCGCCAGUGAAAUACCACCCUGUUUACCGCUUGACUCUUACUUGGGCCACAACUUUAUUCUAACCGGUGUAUAGUUUUGCGAAUUUCUUUGUUGAAGCUUGCGAUCCGCACUCGACGUAGUAUUAUCUACGCCUCGUUUGCGGUUCUCGCUUCGCCUCGAACUACACAAAAAUAUUACACCUUCACAUGGUUGGAGUCGAGUUCUGGUCCAAGAACAGUGUCUGGUGGGUAGUUUAACUGGGGCGGUUGCCUCCUAAAGAGUAACGGAGGCGUUCAAAGGUUAGCUAAGUUCGGAUGGAAAUCGAACUGAUAGUGUAAGAGCACAAGCUAGCUUGACUGCGAGGCCUACAAGCCAAGCAGGUACGAAAGUAGGAUCUAGUGACCCACUAUAUUUAAAUGUGGAAUUGAUAGUGCUCAACGGAUAAAAGUUACGCCGGGGAUAACAGGCUUAUAGCGCCCAAUAGUUCACAUAGACGGCGCUGUUUGGCACCUCGAUGUCGGCUCGUCUCAUCCUGGAGGGGCAGCACCUUCCAAGGGUAUGGCUGUUCGCCAUUUAAAGAGGUACGCGAGCUGGGUUCAGAACGUCGUGAGACAGUUCGGUCCCUAUCUGGUGUGGGCGUUAGGAAAUUUGAGGAGAGUUGCUCCUAGUACGAGAGGACCGGAGUGAACGAACCUCUGGUGUACCGAUUGUCGCGCCUGCGGCAUUGUCGGGUAGCUAUGUUCGGACGGGAUAAGCGCUGAAAGCAUAUAAGCGCGAAGCCUCAUCCAAGAUUAGAUUUCCCCAUUAGGCUCCAUGUAGAUUACGUGGUUGAUAGGCACUAGGUGUAAGUACAGUAAUGUAUUCAGCCGAGGUGUACUAAUAGCCGAUUGACUUUUUG